rnacentral:rRNA from 1 species
AACGAACGCUGGCGGCAUGCCUAACACAUGCAAGUCGAACGAGACCUUCGGAUCUACUGGCGCACGCGUGCGUCACGCGUCGGAACCUUCCCUUAUGUUCGGAAUAACUCUUUGUCAGGGGUGCUAAUACCGGGUAACUUCUUCUGACCACACAUUUAUCCUCUUUGGAUGGGCCCGCGUUGGAUUAGCUUGUUGGUAGGGUAAAAGCCUACCAAGGCGACGAUCCAUAGCUGGUCUGAGAGGAUGAUCAGCCACACUGGGACUGAGACACGGCCCAGACUCCUACGGGAGGCAGCAGUGGGGAAUAUUGGACAAUGGGCGAAAGCCAGAUCCAGCAAUGCCGCGUGAGUGAUGAAGGCCGGAGGGUUGUAAAGCUCGUUUACCCGGGAUGAUAAUGACAGUACCGGGAGAAUAAGCUCCGGCUAACUCCGUG